GGGAAGCUUGCUCCCUGAAGUCAGCGGCGGACGGGUGAGUAACACGUGGGCAACCUGCCUGUAAGAACUGGGAUAACUUCGGGAAACCGGAGCUAAUACCGGAUAAUGCUUUUGGACUCAUGUCCUUAAGCUGAAAGAUGGUUUCGGCUAUCACUUACAGAUGGGCCCGCGGCGCAUUAGCUAGUUGGUGAGGUAACGGCUCACCAAGGCAACGAUGCGUAGCCGACCUGAGAGGGUGAUCGGCCACACUGGGACUGAGACACGGCCCAGACUCCUACGGGAGGCAGCAGUAGGGAAUCUUCCGCAAUGGACGAAAGUCUGACGGAGCAACGCCGCGUGAGUGAUGAAGGUUUUCGGAUCGUAAAACUCUGUUGUUAGGGAAGAACAAGUAUCGGAGUAACUGCCGGUACCUUGACGGUACCUAACCAGAAAGCCACGGCUAACUACGUGCCAGCAGCCGCGGUAAUACGUAGGUGGCAAGCGUUGUCCGGAAUUAUUGGGCGUAAAGCGCGCGCAGGCGGUCCUUUAAGUCUGAUGUGAAAGCCCACGGCUCAACCGUGGAGGGUCAUUGGAAA
rnacentral:rRNA from 1 species